rnacentral:lncRNA from 1 species
AAAAAAAAAAAAAAAAAAAAAAAAAAAAAAAAAAAAAAAAAAAAAAAAAAAAAAAAAAAAAAAAAAAAAAAAAAAAAAAAAAAAAAAAAAAAAAAAAAAAAAAAAAAAAAAAAAAAAAAAAAAAAAAAAAAAAAAAAAAAAAAAAAAAGAAGCAAAGUUCGACACUCAAAUUCCCAUCACAAAGUAAACAAACAUCAACUUCAGUUUCUUCUAUAUAGGACCACUUACAAAAUUUUUAAAGAUCAGUUGUCAAAUUCUUUGGCACCC